AACAAAGACCUGGGGAGGAUUUUAAGCACGUUGAAGUGGUUUUAUGCGAUCAGGAAGGAGUUAGGAAAGAAGAGAUGAAGCCAGAGGGGUGGAAGAGAAGCAAGGGCAGGUGAUGCAGAGGCUUGCUUGGGGUGGAUCCCUCUGGCUGGUGAUUUAAAAACGGUAAAGAAACCAAGGAGACAGAAGGCAGCUUGCUGAGUGUCACAGCCAGUGCCAGGAAUUGCACUCUGCUUCCUCCAGCACCAAAGCUUGCACUCUUGGCUCCUCCUUACUCACCGCCCUGAGAAGGAAGAGCAGUGCAGGAAUUCCCCAUCUCCCCUUGCCAAAUGCUUCUCAUUUUAGAAGAAAGCAACACAUGACGUCAUCUCAACAAGUGAAGGUAAAGUCCAGGAAAGCAAAGCUGGAUUCCAGCACUGACUAGGGACUCCGGGGCUGCUCAGCACCAUGGCAGAACAAUACUGGGAGGAAGGUCACAUAAAAGUGAUGGAGGCAGAUGGAAAAGAAGCUGCCUUCAUCACCCAUGGUGGUAAGACCUAAGUGUGAAAAAUCAAGUACUAGCAAUCAAAGUACAUUAGUUACACACCCGGAGGAAAAUACCAAAAGUAUUGGUCGAAAGAGCUGAGGAGGAAUUGAAGGAAACGGAAGAAGGCAAGAGGACUACUCUUUCUUACAUCAAAUCUUCUAAAGCUAUUUGACUCUUUAUAAAGAGUGUAAAUGUGUAUGUAGCUUUCGUUAAAAAAAAAAAAUUAAAAAACAACCAACUGAAUACUUAUUUGAGAACUAUUCCAGCAUGAGGUUAUGUGUUCUAUGGGUGACAACAACAAAAAUAGUUUUCAAUGUAACAGUUAAGUAAAAUAUGAAAAAAUUCUCAGAAAUUGGCAAAUAAUUCCAAGUAAAAUUUGAUAAUGAGAUAAAUAAAAAGAUAAUUAGAAAAUGGAGUGACAAAAGGACAGUAAAUUUCUUUAAAAAUCUGUGUUUUAAAGUAGUUUAAAAAAAAAGUACACCUUCCUCAUUUCCUCCCAGACACGCCUUUCCCAGAUUUAUCUAGUCUCAUCCUCCUUGCAUUUCUGAGUAGUGGGCAGAGCAGUUUUUAUCAUCCCCACGUCACAGAGGGGAAAAUAAGGUCCAAACCCAAUGGGUAGCAUAGCAGGGGCACCAUGUCAUUGCGCAUACAGGAAGAAUUAUGGUGAGUGCUUCACAAAUGUGUCUGAGGAGCAAAACUGUAAAAAAGAUUGUUAUGACAGUGUUUAUUUAUCAGCAUCAUUACAUGGUGAUGACAUGGGUACAAAAAGGGACACUCAAAUUAUCACAACUGGCACCACCCUGAGGUAGAAUGGAAGAAAUAAAGACAGGUAGAAAAUGAAAAUCAGCAUAGAGGUAACAUCUCCUGGACAUGUCAUUUUCUUAUGCACACAAGAAUUACUCCUGGGGUUCAGGGUAGUAUGAUGAUUGUGAUAUUUAUAGACAUUUUUCUUAGAGGAUACUGGUUCUUUUGUAUUUCUUAGAGGUUCCUUUUUCUUUUUAGAUGGUCAGUAUUCUUUCAGGGGUCUUGGUCAUGUAAGAAACUUGAAGUUUACAAAAGGAAAAGUUCUAAUCUAAAUUGGGACUCAGCUCAAAGUGGGAGAGCCUUUAAAGAAUAUUUCUUUUCCUGAUAUCAUUGGACGAUAGGCUAUGAUGACCAGCAAUACUGUAUGCUUUUUUAUAGAAAUAGAGGCCCUGUGUCUUUGGAUCUGAGACCUAAUAAAUGAUUAUAAGU
rnacentral:lncRNA from 1 species